CUGUACAGGGGGAUAACACUUAGAAAUAGGUGCUAAAACCGCAUAAGCGCACAGCUUUGCAUGAAGCAGUGUGAAAAACUCCGGUGGUACAGGAUGGACCCGCGUCUGAUUAGCUGGUUGGAGGGGUAACGGCCCACCAAGGUGACGAUCAGUAGCCGGCCUGAGAGGGUGAACGGCCACAUUGGGACUGAGACACGGCCCAAACUCCUACGGGAGGCAGCAGUGGGGAAUAUUGCACAAUGGGGGAAACCCUGAUGCAGCGACGCCGCGUGAGUGAAGAAGUAUUUCGGUAUGUAAAGCUCUAUCAGCAGGGAAGAAAAUGACGGUACCUGACCAAGAAGCCCUGGCUAACUACGUGCCAGCAGCCGCGGUAAUACGUAGGGGGCAAGCGUUAUCCGGAUUUACUGGGUGUAAAGGGAGCGUAGACGGUUUUGCAAGUCUGAUGUGAAAGCCCGGGGCUCAACCCCGGGACUGCAUUGGAAACUGUAUGACUGGAGUGCAGGAGAGGUAAGUGGAAUUCCUAGUGUAGCGGUGAAAUGCGUAGAUAUUAGGAGGAACACCAGUGGCGAAGGCGGCUUACUGGACUGUAACUGACGUUGAGGCUCGAAAGCGUGGGGAGCAAACAGGAUUAGAUACCCUGGUAGUCCACGCCGUAAACGAUGAUCAAUAGGUGUCGGGG
rnacentral:rRNA from 1 species